UGACACUUGGGAAACUGG
rnacentral:misc_RNA from 1 species